ensembl:lincRNA 4921508D12Rik RIKEN cDNA 4921508D12 gene
AACGGUCAAGAGCUCUUAAUCACUGAACCGAUCUUGCCAUUCCUUGAAUGAAUGCAUUUUUAAUCAAGCUUAAAAUCCAGGAGAAAUAAAACCGAGGAAACAAGUUGCUAUGGAUGAGAGCAAACGCUACUUUGCCUCUCAGUGGAGACAGCUGAAGAAAGAAGCAAACUGCCUCAAGCUGGUUACCAGAGGACUCAUGUAUGAUCCAUCUCACAUGAACAUGAACAAAUGAAGAACAACUCUGAGGAGUUUUAAAACUCAAAUGCUCCACAGUGUGUGAGGCAUGAGAAGACUCAAGUGCACCAGCUAGCAGACAGAAACAAGAACCACACCGUCAGCUCUUCUGUACCUCCAGCCUGCAGAUUAUAACAUUUAUCACCCUCAAUAAUUGCACAUGCCAGUUCCCCUGAAUAUGUCUUCUGUAUGUGUGCACAUUCCUCUGGAACUCUGACUAAUAUACUGCCAAAAGCAAUUGAAACUGAAAGCAAGCAUCACUGGUGACCGACAGCAGAUGUUCUCAGGGCAAUCACUGGAGAGGACCUCAGAGUAGCUGGGUCGCAGGCUGAGCUGGCUGGUGACAUGGAGAAAGAGAAAGCAGAACAAUGGAGUAGCAGCUGAGGUGUCGGCAGGAUGAGCUGUGAAAGGGAUAAGGCAGCCUGUUGUUUGAUGGCAGAAGAAAGAGCAACUGAACAGUUUGAGAGCAGCCAGGGAGGAAAGGAAGGUCGUGGAAGUAGAAAGGUACUAAGAGAGCUGAGGCAAAUGGACAAAGGAUACAAAGAGCCAGAGAAAAGAAACCGCAGGCCUUGAUCCUAAAAGACUUCCAGAGAGUUCUCAGGUCUUUUGGGACAAGGAUCUCAGACACCCCAGGACAAGAGCUAGCUGCUGUCGAGAACCGAGGAGUCCCUGCUACCCAAGUCUGCCCAGAAAUCUGCUGAAGAACCUGUGGGGCUACAGGUUUGGGUAUCUGAGGCUUGCAUGUGAACUGUAGCAAUAGAGGACCCUGCCUGCUGUGGCUCCCACUGGCCUAUGCAGUCAUUCACUAAAGCCAAACACUAAAGGAAACAAGCAGACAAG